AUACGGAAGGUCCGGGCGUUAUCCGGAUUUAUUGGGUUUAAAGGGAGCGCAGGCGGAGAUGCAAGCGUGACGUCAAAUUUCGGGGCUCAACCCCGUCUCGCGUCGCGAACUGCGUCCCUUGGUUGCGGGAAGGGGAGGCGGAACUCGUGGGGGAGCGGGGAAAUGCAUAGAUAUCACGAAGAACUCCGAUCGCGAAGGCAGCCUUCCGGCCCGUCAACGACGCUCAUGCUCGAAGGUGCGGGUAUCAAACAGGAUUAGAUACCCUGGUAGUCCGCACAGUAAACGAUGGACACCCGCGGUUUGGCCUGUAUGGCUGAGCCGCCAAGCGAAAGCGUUAAGUGUCCCACCUGGGGAGUACGCCGGCAACGGUGAAACUCAAAUGAAUUGGCGGGG
rnacentral:rRNA from 1 species